ACUGCCGGGACUACGCCGGAUAAGAGCGGCUAUAUGCCGCGCUGUGAAUCCGGCGGGGUUUUA
rnacentral:sRNA from 21 species